rnacentral:rRNA from 1 species
AAGACCCCAGAAAGACUAUCUGGUUGAUAGGUCGAAGGUGUAAGUGCAGCAAUGUAUUUAGCUUAUCGAUACUAAUAGGUCGAGGACUUGACCAA